AUACGAAGGGGGCUAGCGUUGUUCGGAAUUACUGGGCGUAAAGCGCGCGUAGGCGGAUUGGUCAGUUAGGGGUGAAAUCCCAGGGCUUAACCCUGGAACUGCCUCUAAUACUGCCAGUCUCGAGUUCGGGAGAGGUGAGUGGAAUUCCUAGUGUAGAGGUGAAAUUCGUAGAUAUUAGGAAGAACACCAGUGGCGAAGGCGGCUCACUGGCCCGAUACUGACGCUGAGGCGCGAAAGCGUGGGGAGCAAACAGGAUUAGAUACCCUUGUAGUCC
rnacentral:rRNA from 1 species